AUCUCAGGGAAAUGAACAAACGUUUAACAGAGGAGCAAGCCAGGAAGACCUUUGAGAGAGCCAUGAAACUGGAGCAAGAAUUUACUGAACAUUUCACAGCUAUUGUCCAAGGAGACACACUGGAAGAGAUAUACAACCAGGUGAAGCAGAUCAUAGAAGAACAGUCUGGGCCUUACAUCUGGGUACCAGCAAAGGAAAAAUUAUGAAAAUUGGAAGAUUUUUGGUUUUCAUUUUCUAACUGACAUUACCUACUCAUCAACAACUUGUAACCCUUUUCAGUGGAGCCUGCCUCUAGCUCUUUCCAAUGUGGGUCACACACUAAACAUCACAUUCUGCAGUUCCCAAAAUUUUCUUACAUUUGGUGUCUCUCUUAGUUUGAAUAAUUUGUAUUAUUGUGUGGUAGUGUUCAUUUGACGUUUUUCAAACAUGAAGGUUGAAUGGCCUGACCAGCUAUUAAGGUAGGGUUGGGGAAUUAUAUGGUAAAAUUCCUUAAUGUUUAAGGGAAAGUACGUUUCAGAGAUUCUCAGAAAAGAUUUAUGUACAUUCUUUUAAAAUUUCAUAGCAUAUGAAAGAAAAGUCAUCUUACCCAAUGAUGUAAAUUGUGAGCAACUUUGCACACUUAAUUAUAAUAGCAUGGGUUGGCCAAGGCAUUUAAUUUCAAGUUUUAGUUUGUGGGUUGACUUUCUGUUGUCACCGCAAAUAUUUUUCUUUAUAGGCAGUUAAUGUAACUUUUUCCAAAUUAAUGUAUUUCAUUAACUUCCAUUAAUUCACAAGGGAUAUUCAUUUUCAAAAUUUCAUAAUGAUAUUCUUAUAGUCUAUUUUUAUUCAUUUUUUGCAUAUACAGUUGCUAGGGAUAAAGAUAUUUAAUGUUUUUAAUCUUACUCAUGCAACACUAUUUACAGUGUCUUACAAAAGUUGUUUUAGAUAAUGGUCAUCACUCUUUUCUGAGUCGAAAACAUGUUUAGGUGCUAGGGAAGCUUGUAUUUUACAAAUGAAUAGCAAAUUUUCAUUGGCAGCCAUACAGAAAACACUUGCAGUGAUGUAUGAUCAUUAAGGCAAUAAGAAGAGAGUCAGAUUUGUAAUUUAAAACUGUGUGUCUCCUUAGAGGUGUCAGAUUUUAAUGAAUAUUUUACCCACAAUAAUUGCCUAUUUUGUUAUAAAACUUUCUUUAACUAUAAACUCUGUAACUAUGGGAAUUAUUUUCUUUACAUAGUUGCGCACACAUAUAUAUAUAUAUAUAUAUAUAUAAAAUAUAUUUUUUUUUCUUUUCCCACCUACUCCUAGCUUUUCUUUUUUUGUUUUUGUUUUGAGAAUAAAUAUAAAUUAGAAUUUAUCUUCCUUAAUCAUGUGAAAUGAAAUGGGGUAUGGUGGCUGGGUAAAACAUCUGGGGGAUAUUAGCUACAAGAAAAAAAUAUGGGCAAGUUCUCCUCCUUUCUACAAACAAUUUCAGAUGUUUGGUUUUGUUUUUUUUUCUUUUCCAUGUGAUGUGCAUGUUUUAACCAAUGGGAGAUUUCAGAGUCAACAGUCAGUUUUUAUGUACAUCUCAGACUGCAUCUGUGUCAUAUCUUCCAUGGUGGCUCUGCACUGGAGAGAUACAGACCUCUGAGCUGAGCAAUUAUAAAUACAUUUCUGCAAAAUAUAGAACUAACAUUAUUCAUUCCAUUUGUCAGAAAGAGGAGAACAGCUAAUAAAGUUUAUUGUACAACA